AGCGUGUUAUUCAUACGUAAAAGCAGCAACAAAACCCGGCCGUUUAGCUGAAAGGCAGGUCCCCACUGUGUAUAUGUUAACUGAAUCCUGCCUCCAUGGAAGGGGGAUAGUCCAUAGACGGGUCUAUGUUUCCAGCACUUAGUUCCCUAGAACCCACAUCAACAAGCUCAGUUUUGUUGGGGACUCCAGGAUUCAUGUGUUUGGGAGAGUUCAAAUGGAGCCCCUCUCUCCAAUGAUUAUGGAUGGACAAAGUGAUGGACAACCGAACCCACCUCAGAGGAGGGCAUUUUCUUGAGACUCCAGUGCUGAAAUGAUAAAUGGGUGGACCAUUUGGCCUUCAACAAAUGACAAAGAAAAAAUACAACUGAUUAGAGAGUA